rnacentral:tRNA from 1 species
GGCUCAGUAGCUUAGUUGGCACUUGUCUAGCGUAUAUGGGUCGUGAGUUCAAAUCUCACCUGAGCUG